ACAGUGGACGCGAGCAUCUGUGGCCAAGUUUUUAAGGGCGCACGGUGGAUGCCUUGGCACCAGGAACCGAUGAAGGACGUGGGAGGCCACGAUAGUCCCCGGGGAGCCGUCAACCAGGCUUUGAUCCGGGGGUUUCCGAAUGGGGAAACCCGGCAGUCGUCAUGGGCUGUCACCCGCUGCUGAACACAUAGGCAGUGUGGAGGGAACGAGGGGAAGUGAAACAUCUCAGUACCCUCAGGAAGAGAAAACAACCGUGAUUCCGGGAGUAGUGGCGAGCGAAACCGGAUGAGGCCAAACCGUAUACGUGUGAGACCCGGCAGGGGUUGCGUGUGCGGGGUUGUGGGAUCUCUCUUCUGUCGUCUGCCGGCGACAGGACGAGUCAGAAACCGUUGAUGUAGGCGAAGGACAUGCGAAAGGUCCGGCGUAGAGGGUAAGACCCCCGUAGUCGAAACAUCAGCGGCUCGUUUGAGAGACACCCAAGUAGCACGGGGCCCGAGAAAUCCCGUGUGAAUCUGGCGGGACCACCCGCUAAGCCUAAAUAUUCCCUGGUGACCGAUAGCGGAUAGUACCGUGAGGGAAUGGUGAAAAGUACCGCGGGAGCGGAGUGAAAUAGUACCUGAAACCGUGUGCCUACAAGCCGUGGGAGCGUCGCGCAUUGAGUUUACUCAGUGCGUCGUGACUGCGUGCCUUUUGAAGAAUGAGCCUGCGAGUUUGCGGUGUGUUGCGAGGUUAACCCGUGUGGGGAAGCCGUAGCGAAAGCGAGUCCGAAUAGGGCGAUUCAGUAGCGCGCUCAAGACCCGAAGCGGAGUGAUCUAGCCAUGGGCAGGUUGAAGCGGAGGUAAGACUUCGUGGAGGACCGAACCCACCAGGGUUGAAAACCUGGGGGAUGACCUGUGGUUAGGGGUGAAAGGCCAAUCAAACUCCGUGAUAGCUGGUUCUCCCCGAAAUGCAUUUAGGUGCAGCGUCGUGUGUUUCUUGCCGGAGGUAGAGCACUGGAUAGGCGAUGGGCCCUACCGGGUUACUGACCUUAGCCAAACUCCGAAUGCCGGUAAGUGAGAGCACGGCAGUGAGACUGUGGGGGAUAAGCUCCAUGGUCGAGAGGGAAACAGCCCAGAGCAUCGACUAAGGCCCCUAAGCGUACGCUAAGUGGGAAAGGAUGUGGAGUCGCAGAGACAACCAGGAGGUUGGCUUAGAAGCAGCCACCCUUGAAAGAGUGCGUAAUAGCUCACUGGUCUAGUGAUUCCGCGCCGACAAUGUAGCGGGGCUCAAGCGUACCGCCGAAGUCGUGUCAUUCAUACAAUAGGGCCAACGCCUGUAUGGAUGGGUAGGGGAGCGUCGUGUGCCGGGUGAAGCAGCCGCGGAAGCGAGUUGUGGACGGUUCACGAGUGAGAAUGCAGGCAUGAGUAGCGAUACAAACGUGAGAAACGUUUGCGCCGAUUGACUAAGGGUUCCUGGGUCAAGCUGAUCUGCCCAGGGUAAGUCGGGACCUAAGGCGAGGCCGACAGGCGUAGUCGAUGGAUAACCGGUUGAUAUUCCGGUACCCGCUGUGAAGCGUCAAACAUCGAGCAUCGUGAUGCUAAGGCCGUGAAGCCGUUCCGGACCCUUCGGGGAAUGGAAAGUGGUGGAGCCGCCGGCCCAAGCGGUUAGUAGGUGAGUGAUGGGGUGACGCAGGAAGGUAGUCCAGCCCAGGCGGUGGUUGUCCUGGGGUAAGGGUGUAGGACGCAAGGUAGGCAAAUCCGCCUUGCACAUAGUCUGAGACCUGAUGCCGAGCCGAUUGUGGUGAAGUGGAUGAUCCUAUGCUGUCGAGAAAAGCCUCUAGCGAGUUUCAUAGCGGCCCGUACCCUAAACCGACUCAGGUGGUCAGGUAGAGAAUACCGAGGCGUUCGGGUGAACUAUGGUUAAGGAACUCGGCAAAAUGCCCCCGUAACUUCGGGAGAAGGGGGGCCAUCACUGGUGAUCGGAUUUACUCCGUGAGCUGGGGGUGGCCGCAGAGACCAGCGAGAAGCGACUGUUUACUAAAAACACAGGUCCGUGCGAAGCCGUAAGGCGAUGUAUACGGACUGACGCCUGCCCGGUGCUGGAACGUUAAGGGGACCGGUUAGUCCUGUUUCGACAGGGCGAAGCUGAGAACUUAAGCGCCAGUAAACGGCGGUGGUAACUAUAACCAUCCUAAGGUAGCGAAAUUCCUUGUCGGGUAAGUUCCGACCUGCACGAAUGGCGUAACGACUUCUCGACUGUCUCAACCAUAGGCCCGGUGAAAUUGCACUACGAGUAAAGAUGCUCGUUUCGCGCAGCAGGACGGAAAGACCCCGGGACCUUUACUACAGUUUGAUAUUGGUGUUCGGUUCGGCUUGUGUAGGAUAGCUGGGAGACUUUGAAGCAUGCACGCCAGUGUGUGUGGAGUCGUCGUUGAAAUACCAGUCUGGUCGUGCUGGAUGUCUAACCUGGGUCCGUGAUCCGGAUCAGGGACAGUGUCUGAUGGGUAGUUUAACUGGGGCGGUUGCCUCCUAAAGAGUAACGGAGGCGCCCAAAGGUUCCCUCAGCCUGGUUGGCAAUCAGGUGUUGAGUGUAAGUGCACAAGGGAGCUUGACUGUGAGACCGACGGGUCGAGCAGGGACGAAAGUCGGGACUAGUGAUCCGGCGGUGGCUUGUGGAAGCGCCGUCGCUCAACGGAUAAAAGGUACCCCGGGGAUAACAGGCUGAUCUUCCCCAAGAGUCCAUAUCGACGGGAUGGUUUGGCACCUCGAUGUCGGCUCGUCGCAUCCUGGGGCUGGAGUCGGUCCCAAGGGUUGGGCUGUUCGCCCAUUAAAGCGGUACGCGAGCUGGGUUUAGAACGUCGUGAGACAGUUCGGUCCCUAUCCGCUGUGCGCGUAGGAAUAUUGAGAAGGGCUGUCCCUAGUACGAGAGGACCGGGACGGACGAACCUCUGGUGUGCCAGUUGUCCUGCCAAGGGCAUGGCUGGUUGGCUACGUUCGGGAGGGAUAACCGCUGAAAGCAUCUAAGCGGGAAGCCUGCUUCGAGAUGAGUAUUCCCACCUCCUUGAGAGGGUAAGGCUCCCAGUAGACGACUGGGUUGAUAGGCCAGAUAUGGAAGCCUGGUAACGGGUGGAGUUGACUGGUACUAAUAGGCCGAGGGCUUGUCCUCAGUUG
rnacentral:rRNA from 1 species